AGAGUUUGAUCCUGGCUCAGGACGAACGCUGGCGUCGUGCUUAACACAUGCAAGUCGAACGGAAAGGCCCUGCUUGCAGGGUGCUCGAGUGGCGAACGGGUGAGUAACACGUGGGUGAUCUGCCCCCUACUUUGGGAUAAGCCUGGGAAAUCGGGUCCAAUACUGGAUAGGACCAUGCUGUAGGUGGUGUGGUGGAAAGAUUAGUUUCGGUAGGGAUGAGCUCGCGGCCUAUCAGCUUGUUGGUGGGGUAAUGGCCUACCAAGGCGUCGACGGGUAGCCGGCCCGAGAGGGUGGACGGCAACAUUGGGACUGAGAUACGGCCCAGACUCCUACGGGAGGCAGCAGUAGGCAAUCUUCCGCAAUGGACGAAAGUCUGACGGGGCAACGCCGCGUGAAUGGUGAAGGUUUUCGGAUCGUAAAGCUCUGUUGUUAGGGAAGAACAAGUGCAAGAGCAACUGCUUGCACCUUGACGGUACCUAACCAGAAAGCCACGGCUAACUACGUGCCAGCAGCCGCGGUAAU
rnacentral:rRNA from 1 species